UACGUAGGUGGCAAGCGUUGUCCGGAUUUACUGGGCGUAAAGAGCGCGCAGGCGGUCGUUCAAGUCGCGUGUGAAAGCCCCCGGCUCAACUGGGGAGGGUCACGCGAUACUGAUCGACUCGAAGGCAGGAGAGGGUAGUGGAAUUCCCGGUGUAGUGGUGAAAUGCGCAGAUAUCAGGAGGAACACCGAUGGCGAAGGCAGGUCUCUGGGCAUUAACUGACGCUGAGGAGCGAAAGCAUGGGGAGCGAACAGG
rnacentral:rRNA from 1 species